rnacentral:rRNA from 1 species
CCUACGGGAGGCUGCAGUGGGGAAUAUUGCACAAUGGGCGCAAGCCUGAUGCAGCCAUGCCGCGUGUGUGAAGAAGGCCUUCGGGUUGUAAAGCACUUUCAGCGGGGAGGAAGGCGGUGAGGUUGAUAACCUCAUCGAUUGACGUUACCCGCAGAAGAAGCACCGGCUAACUCCGUGCCAGCAGCCACGGUAAUACGGAGGGUGCAAGCGUUAAUCGGAAUUACUGGGCGUAAAGCGCACGCAGGCGGUCUGUCAAGUCGGAUGUGAAAUCCCCGGGCUCAACCUGGGAACUGCAUUCGAAACUGGCAGGCUAGAGUCUUGUAGAGGGGGGUAGAAUUCCAGGUGUAGCGGUGAAAUGCGUAGAGAUCUGGAGGAAUACCGGUGGCGAAGGCGGCCCCCUGGACAAAGACUGACGCUCAGGUGCGAAAGCGUGGGGAGCAAACAGGAUUAGAUACCCGAGUAGUC